GGCUACACACGUGCUACAAUGGGUAGUAACAGAGAGUUGCAAAGCUGUGAAGUGGAGCUAAUCUCAGAAAACUAUUCUUAGUUCGGAUUGUACUCUGCAACUCGAGUACAUGAAGUUGGAAUCGCUAGUAAUCGCGAAUCAGCAAUGUCGCGGUGAAUACGUUCUCGGGUCUUGUACACACCGCCCGUCACACCACGAGAGUUGGUUGCACCUGAAGUAGCAGGCCUAACCGUAAGGAGGGAUGCUCCGAGGGUGUGAUUAGCGAUUGGGGUGAAGUCGUAACAAGGUAUCCGUACGGGAACGU
rnacentral:rRNA from 1 species